UACGGGGGGGGCAAGCGUUGUUCGGAAUUACUGGGCGUAAAGGGCUCGUAGGUGGCCAACUAAGUCAGACGUGAAAUCCCCAGGCUCAACUUGGGAACUGCGUCUGAUACUGGAUGGCUUGAAUUCGGGAGAGGGAUGCAGAAUUCCAGGUGUAGCGGUGAAAUGCGUAGAUAUCUGGAGGAAUACCGGUGGCGAAGGCGGCAUCCUGGGCCGAGACUGACACUGAUGAGCGAAAGCUAGGGGAGCAAACGGG
rnacentral:rRNA from 1 species